rnacentral:rRNA from 1 species
CCUACGGGUGGCAGCAGUGGGGAAUAUUGGGCAAUGGACGCAAGUCUGACCCAGCAACGCCGCGUGAAGGAAGAAGGCUUUCGGGUUGUAAACUUCUUUUAAGGGGGAAGAGGAGAAGACGGUACCCCUUGAAUAAGCCACGGCUAACUACGUGCCAGCAGCCGCGGUAAUACGUAGGUGGCAAGCGUUGUCCGGAUUUACUGGGUGUAAAGGGCGUGCAGCCGGGCCGACAAGUCAGAUGUGAAAUCCGCGGGCUUAACCCGGGAGCUGCAUUUGAAACUAUAGGUCUUGAGUGCCGGAGAGGAAAGCGGAAUUCCUGGUGUAGCGGUGAAAUGCGUAGAUAUAAGGAAGAACACCAGUGGCGAAGGCGGAUUGCUGGGCGGUAACUGACGGUGAGGCGCGAAAGCGUGGGGAGCAAACAGGAUUAGAUACCCCAGUAGUC